rnacentral:rRNA from 1 species
UACAGAGGGGGCAAGCGUUGUUCGGAAUUACUGGGCGUAAAGGGCGCGUAGGCGGCCUGCUAAGUCGAACGUGAAAUCCCCGGGCUCAACCCGGGAACUGCGUCCGAUACUGGCAGGCUUGAAUUCGGGAGAGGGAUGCGGAAUUCCAGGUGUAGCGGUGAAAUGCGUAGAUAUCGGGCGGAACACCAGCGGCGAAGGCGGCAUCCUGGCCCUAUCCUGACGCUGAGGCGCGAGAGCGUGGGGAGCAAACCGG